rnacentral:piRNA from 1 species
AAUUCUGAAGAGCGUUUGAAAGC